GCCAUUUUUAAUGUAAUACAGUUGCAUGUAUAUAUACAUGAUCUAUAUUGAUACAUUAAUAAAUCCAAUAGUUUGUAUCUAGAAAUAUAAAUCACAGAAAAAAGCUAUGUGACCAUGCAGAAAAUAGUUCAAUCCACACACGUAUACAUGAACAAACCAAAAAUUGAAUCAAUGUUUGUGUGCGUUGAGGUUGGCAAUGACCGAAGCAAAGAGGUGAGGGCUUUGUUGUUUCCAAGGAAGGCAUUCGGCGAGGGUUAAUCAUGUUGAAAGUGGUAGGUCUCAAUGUUGUCCAACGCCCCCAUUUGAAGUUCAACUCUGCUAUCCUCUUUCUGGUGGUGGCCUAUGUGAAAUCGCAACAUAGUGUGCUCAAUCUAGAGAUUGGCUCAUCUUCUUCUUAGGUAGCAGAGGAGGUGGCGACUUGGCAACUAGGGUGCCUCCCUCCGAUUUGUUUUUCACUUGCUCCUCUGUGCUUUGGUUGCGCUUGCAGCUGGGGCUAUGGUGGUUUUGUCCCUUGUUUCUACCGUCUUAAAGUGCCAUGGUAGCGGUUUGUGCUUUGGGCGUUUCCUUCGCGUUUGCCAGUGGUGCUCGGCGGUGAUCUUGGGCAGAGGGAUCUAGAGCCUUUCCAGAGAAGGUUUUUGGAGAUUUCCUUCCAAUGAGCUGGGCUUCUAAGCUAGACUUUGGUCUCUG
rnacentral:misc_RNA from 1 species